rnacentral:lncRNA from 1 species
AGCAUUCUGGCAAAAGUAAAGAGAUAGUACCCGAGGAUCAAUAAUCGGAGUACUCGAAACUUGAUUUCCAUUACAGUGAGUAAACUUACUAUCAUCUUAAUUAUCUAAAGUGGUUUUUAUCUGAUUUUGUGAUUUUAUGGAAAAUGAGUUUAAAUAGUAAAUCUUUAUGUUUUAUAAACAAAAUGUGUUUAAAUGAAAUGAUUUUAUAAAUUGUCUUGAAAUUGAAUGAUGGCUUUGAAAAUAGAGUAAUUGGAGACCAUUUGAUAAAUUGUGAAUUUAUGGUUCUAAUUGAUUGGCUUAUGGCAAUAUUGGCAUGAAUGGUUGAAUUGGUAUUUGUGUUGAAAAUGUAUAAACUGUUGUUUGCCUUGAUAGGCUGGAUAAUGAUAAAAUUGCCAUGUCAUGCUAUUAAAUUUUAUUGAAUUGGAGGGUUAUUGAUUAGUCGCUGUAGUGGACGAGUUCCAUGGAUCAGCCUAUUAGAGGGGGCACGGUAACCCUAUUAUAUUCUUACCUCGAUCGGAGAAGCGUGUAGGGUAACUCCCGAGGUACACUUUUAGAGUUCACUUCAUGCCAAACCACCACGUGAGGGUGAACUCAGCCAACACCAAGGAACGACUAUGUUUUCAAAAUAAAAAUAUGUUUAUGUGUAUACGAAAUUUUUAACAGCCUUGGAGGACUCGAUUGGGAUAGCCCUUGGCCAAGGUAUCCCUAAUAACUAAGUAUGAGAAUGAUUUUGGCACGAGCCAAAGUUUUAAGAAAUUCAUAAGCCAUGUUGAAUACUCGAUUUAUAUGAAUUGAUUUUAUUCAGUUGAAAUGAGUUGAAAGGUGAUGAAUUAUAGUAUGAUAAUCUAUUUUAAUCUGUCUCCAUUUACUCAGCUUUAGAUAUUUUAGAUUGUAUUUGUUUACUCACUGGGAUUAUAUAAUCUCACCACCCUAAUUUUCACCCAUUUCAGGCUCAGGAUAGUUGGUAGAUAGCUCACUUUGUUGAGGGAUACAGUUGGACUUCCAUCCUCAAAAACUGUAAGUUUACCGCUUUUGAUACUUUUGGUCGUUCGUGGGCCCACAUGUCAUUGUAAAUUAAAUUUUAUACUUUG